AUGUGUCCCCAAUGCAGUGACACCACUGAGUGACCCCAACAGUGUGACACCAAUGUGUCCCCAAUGCAGUGACACCACUGAGUGACCCCAACACAGUGACACCAAUGUGUCCCCAACAGUGUGACACCACUGAGUGUCUGCAAUGCAAUGACACCACUGAGUGACCCCAAUGCAGUGACACCGCUGAGUGACCCCAACAGUGUGACACCAAUGUGUCCCCAAUGCAAUGACACCAAUGUGUGUCCCCAUGCAGUGACACCAAUGUGUCCCCAACAGUGUGACACCAAUGUGUCCCCAAUGCAGUGACACCGCUGAGUGUCCCCAACCCGCGGUGACGCUGAGCUCCGUCCCCUCCGACGCAGCCGUGCUGUGACCCCACAGUUCUGACCCCCGGCAUCCCCUCCAACGCCCCCAUCCCAUCACUCCGCGCCCCUUUAGGUCCCCUCCGGCCCCACAUGCUGUGCUCCCUUUGCUCUGACCCAUAGGAUCCCUCCCACCCCCACCACUGCAUGGUUCUGUGACCCAUAGGAUCCCUCCCACCCCACCACUCCAUGGUCCUUUAUGUCCCCUCGAACCCAACCACGAUAUGACCCCAUUGCUUUAUGACCUAUAGGAUCCCUUCCAAUCCCCCCAUUCCGUGAUCUUUGAGGUCCCUCCCAACCCCACCACGCUGUGAUCCCAUUGCUCUGAGGUCAUUGAGGUCCCACCAACCCCCCCAUGCUGUGAUCCCAUUGCUCUAUAGCCUAUAGGAUCCCUUCCAACACCCCCUAUUCCAUGACUCCGUGAUCCUUUAUGUCUCCUCCAACCCCCCCAUGCUGUGAUCCCAUCGCUCCAUGGCCUAUAGGAUCCCUUCCAAUGCCCCCUAUUCCACAACUCCGCGAUCCUUUAUGUCUCCUCCAACCCCACCAUGCCGUGAUCCUAUAGCUUUAUGGUCAUAGAGGUCCCACCAACCCCCCCAUGCUGUGAUCCCAUUGCUCUAUAGCCUAUAGGAUCCCUUCCAAUGCCCCCUAUUCCAUGACUCCAUGAUCCAUUACGUCUCCUCCAACCCAACCAUGCUAUGAUCCUACAGCUCUAUGGUCAUUGAGGUCCCACCAACCCCCCCAUGCAGUGAUCCCAUUGCUCCACAACCUAUAGGAUCCCUUCCAACACCCCUUAUUCCAUGACUCCAUGAUCCUUUGUCUCCUCCAACCCCCCCAUGCUGUGAUCCCAUCACUCUGUGGUCACUGAGGUCCCAUCAACCCCACUAAGCUGUGAUCCCAUUGCUCCACGACCUAUAGGAUCCCUUCCAACGCCCCCACUUC
ensembl:lncRNA